rnacentral:rRNA from 1 species
ACGCCUGUUUUAUCAAAAACAUCGCCUCCUGCAACAACCAAUGUAUAAGAGGUCCUACCUGCCCAGUGACUAUGUUAAACGGCCGCGGUAUUUUGACCGUGCAAAGGUAGCGCAAUCACUUGUUUUUUAAAUGAAGACCUGUAUGAAUGGUGAAACGAGGGCUUAACUGUCUCCCCUUUCUGAUCAGUGAAAUUGAUCUACCCGUGCAGAAGCGGGUAUAAGCAUACAAGACGAGAAGACCCUAUGGAGCUUAAGACACAAGAUCAACUAUGUUAAAACCCCUAAUUAAAAAGGUAAAACACAACAGCAACUGAUCGGCGUCUUCGAUUGGGGCGAUCGAGGGGGAAAAUAAAUCCCCCAUGAAGAAUAAGAUAUUUUCUCCAAACCAUGAUACACACCUCUAAGUCGCAGAAUUUCUGACCAAAAGAUCCGGUAUUCAACCGAUCAGCGGACCAAGUUACCCUAGGGAUAACAGCGCAAUCCUCUCCAAGAGUCCAUAUCGACAAGAGGGUUUACGACCUCGAUGUUGGAUCAGGACAUCCUAAUGGUGCAGCCGCUAUUAAGGGUUCGUUUGUUCAACGAUUAAAGUCCUACGUGAUCUGAGUUCCAGACCGGA